UGUGAAAAAAAGCUAAAGAAAAAAAGAGCUGGGGGAAUGGCUCAAGGGCUGGGUCACUGCACAGCAAGUACAGGGCUCUGAGUUCAAACCCUAGUACUGCCAAAUACAAAAGAAAUUUCAAAUGUAUAUCUGGGAGCUGGUGUCUUGCACCUGUAAUGCUAGCUACUCAGGAGGCUGACAUCCUAGGGUCGAGGUUCAAAGUCUGAUCA